GUCCCUUGUGUCCAUUCCCAUGUGUCUGGAAUGUUAAAGUCAUAUUUUUUCUGCCACUACGUCCAGUGUGCCCAGAUGUGGGGAACCGGGUAUUUGUACAGGGCUGAGAGAGGAGGCAGGUCGUCAGAGUGUAAAGAAAGGGAUUCAUAUUUCAGAACUUCCUGCAAAGCCUCUUGGUGAGGGCUCGGGUGCCUCUCCCUGUCUCCUGGCCCACCUAUUUCUCUCCAGCUCCUGCUGGGAGCUGCACGGAUGGACGGUCCAGGCUGCCUUUCCAACUUGGCCUUCCUGAGCAAGCUGUCAGGAGCACUCACAUCAGGUCACCCUGGAUGACCUGCUGCACUGUCUGUGAGCAGGUGACCUUCAGUGCUAUGGAUUAUGCCUCACUAGCUGCAGGUCACUCUGUAGUCCACCCAGAAGCUGCACGCAGCCACUGCCCUGGCUUCAGUGUCCGGGUCCAAAAGAUCACUGAGAACAGAGUACGGCACUGAAGUGAUUCGCUCCACAGCUGGGCGUCCAGGGAGGAGAGGUGAUCUGGGCACAGCCCCAGCUCCACCCUGACCAGUGCCUCAUGGAGGAGUUUUUCCCAUUCUGGCCCCGGCUGUCCUUCCUGUGAGUGGAAGGAGUUGGAUUAGGAGACUUCCGUCCCAGCCUGUGAGUCCAUUGUAGCUUCUUCCUGCUGGGGUGAUGGGUGUGUGGAAUUGGUUAUUAUCUGCAACUGUAAAAUGCAGGUGCUCAAACUUCCGCAGAAACCCUUCUGUAUUCACUUGCUGAAGGCAAUCAGAGCACGCAGGGGUCACUUGUGUGAAUUGAUUUACUCUUUGGUGUCUGCCUGGGUCCAAAUGGAAAGCAUCCUUUGAAUCUGCUUAGGAGUGCUGUCCACUCACAAGGAGGGGUGCUGUGUAUUGGAAUGGCAGGCUGAAAUUUCUGUUUCAUGUGAAGUAAAAGACAUUCUCGCUUGCUAAUGUUAUUUGAUAUGUUAUUGGCAGUGCAGAGAGACAUAUGAUGAGUGCACUUAUAGCAAACAGUUGCCAGUGUUGGGCACAAAUACUUUCUGUCAGUUAAUCAUGCUGAACUCUAGCACACACAGAUGUGAGACACAAAUUUUCAUCAUGUGCAUCAUUUGCUCCAGGAUGAAAAUGCAAGUGUACCUGGUCCAUGAGUCCUUAAUGUCUGCCAUGUCAUUGAGAAAAUUCAGCUUUGUUCUUCCUUCCAGAGGCCAAGUGAAUUAGUGCCUCCCUUUUCCCCUGCAUCUCAGACCACGCUGUGUGGAGCCCCCCAGGCCCCCGGCUGCCCUGCUCUGGAAGUGUUAUGCCCCCCUCCACCUCCAUGAAGUCCUCUGAUGCCAAGCUGACCAGGUCACUCUCUUGCUUAAAAUCUUUUUGUAAGUCCCCACAAUUCUCUGGGGGAUCAAGGUCCAAAUUUGGGGAGAAAGGCCCUCCCUUAGCUGGCCUCGGUUGGCCUCUUCCUCCAACUUCUACAUUGUCUGCCUUCCACACCUGCACCACACCUGUGCCCUCUGUAGGAGCCCAGCUGCUCACUCCCACAGGCCGUGGCAGACCAGCAGCUGCAUUGCAGAGACCCAUGCACACUCCUCCAGGGCCCCUCAGGCACCCUGCUGUGAGGAGCGCCAUCCUUCUCCUACAUCUGGCUCCAAGACCCUAGUGAGUGCUUCCUGAGCAAACCUGAAAAUGAGGUGUCUCUGGGCCGUUUUUAGUGGAAGAAGGCCACACUUCUUGGUCCCUGCACACUGCUUGGCCCACACUGCUUGGUCUAGGUGGUGGAUGCACAGUGACCCCUGGAGUGGGUGCACCAGGGUCUCCAUGUGGUGCAACCUAGAAGUGAUAAGCAACUUUGCUGAAGGCCUCAAAAAACCACCCCCUGAAGAAAACAGACUAGGGUUCUCCUUGGAUGUAGACCCACCCGCAGUUUCGGGCAGGCUGGAUGUGCGGCCACCUGGGGCGGCCUUCCUGUGGCUCUCUGGGCCACCUGGAUCUUCUCCAGCCUAAGACUUGGCCAGGCAGGAGGUUUGGAGGGGUGAACCGGUGUGAGUCCCCUUGAACCGUCUCCCUCAAAAAUGUAAAACUCUGGCCGACGAGGAGAACCUGGGCUUCUGGAAUGACGUCUGACUGUCCUGCCUCUUGCCAGCUGCCGCUUCGGCUUCCAUCUUUGAAGAUGGACAGAACAUCCAGUCUGUUCUGCUUGGUCAGGCAGCUGGGGCGGGGGCCGCUGUUGCGUGCUGAGCCAGGGCUGCCUCUCCUCCACCUGAGGAGCUCAGGGUGGCCCUUCCCUUGCUGUCAUUGUCUCCUGCCUUCGAUGCUCCAGGCCAACUACCAUCCCUUGUUCAUAUUCCUAAUGUCUACUUAAUAUCACUGACCACGCCCCAAGCACCGACAUGGUCUCCAGGAAGGCUGCACGGUCGGCCAGCAUCACCAGCCGUCUCUGACACCGCGUGCCUGUGUGCUCUCCACCAUUCAGUGGAGGUGGGCCUGCUCCACGGAGUCCCUCAUUUGUGCCUUUCCGUCCCCUCUGUCCUCUCAGUCCCUUUCCUCUGAAGGGAUCUCCCACACCCCACCUGCCUCAUUCUCUUGGCAGGCCCUGGGCAGACUGACCGCUGCCCAAUGGUAGCUGGCUUUCUACUCAGGCCUCCUGGAACACCAGGAGAUGAUCUUCCUAAGGCACUUCUCCAUUCCGUAUUUUUCUAGUUAAAAGAAGAAAAAGAUAAACACAAAUUGAGAGGGCACUUCCUGGAAGCUAAAGCCCAAACUGUUUAGCCUAGAAUUAAAGUCCAGGACCACUGCACUGGGCCUCCUUCCCACCCAGCCUCUGCCUGUCUUCAUCAGGAAUGCUCGGGCCGGCGGCGCCUGGGCCAAGGCUCAGGACACACUCUCCCUGUCCCAUGCCCUUUCCAGGGUGCUGCCUGCCUCCAGACCCAGUUGUAUCAUCAAGAAAGCCCGCUGGGCUCCUGCCGUCCCCCAUGUCCACCUCAAGCCCACUCAUUCCUGCUGGUCUCCCACCCCUUGGCCAUUUCCGUUCCUGGCCUGCGUCUGCUCUGGCUUUUCAGAGCUGGGGGCUGUCCCCUGCUUGCUCAUGAACAGAUGCCUGGAGCACUGGACCAUGCAGACCUUGCAUGGCUGACCAUUAUGCCCAGCUGUCUGCUCCGGCUGCCAGGAGGCUCCUGGUGAGGGCGUGCGCUCAGCAGCUACCUUUGCUCCCCGUCAGCAUGUCCAGAUGUGUGGCUGCAUUUGCUGCUUCUGUUUAUUCACUUAUUUUUAGUUUUGUCUCAUGCCAGUGGCUUUGGCCUUAAUGAGUCAAGGUUUUUAUUACAAACCACCUCAACUUCUUUUGGAAAACUAGGCCCAGUAUAAGUCUGUCCUGUUUCCACCUCUAUUAAUUUCUAUCCAUUCGGAGAUUGUAUUAAGUGGGCAGUAGAUACCCAAAGAAUAUUUUUCAGAGGAUAAGAGGAUAUUUUUCAGGCCAAAAAAAAAAUGUUAUUUCUAAUCUCCAGUUUCAUCGUUUGAAGAAAAAUGAUUUUUUAUUAACUUUAGUAAAACUGAUCAAUGGUUAAGCAAGAAAUACUGAAGAUCCUGAGAGCAAAUUAAAUUAAAUAAGAAAGUCCUCCCACUCCAUAAAUAUCCUAUAGCUCUAGACCAAACAGGGAAACUGAGCUUUUCACACUAACAGCCAUCACACUGACUAGCACCAGACUGAAGCUGAUCAAUUCUGGAGGAAGGAGAAUGGAGGACGGAGGAGGGACGGGAAAGGGGAAGGACUGGGGACAGAAGUGACACGAUUUAUAUUCCAUGCAUGUACGAGUAUGUUAACCUGAACCCCAACAUAGUGAAUAACUGUAAUGAACUAAUGAAGACCAAAAAAAAAAAAAAAGACUGGUGGAUUUUUCAGAAGUUUGGAGUUGCUCCAAUAAUGUUUAAGGCGACCACCACAAUUGAUGAUUAUGUGGUGAAAUGUGAGUUGAAGUAUGAAAUUAAAAAGUGUUUGAAAUUUCGUAUUUUCUCCCACUAUUACUACUUAUUAGGAGACAAUGCCUGUCUUCUAGAGAUUCUGCUCCCUGCAAGGCAGGCAUGUCACCCUCUCCUCACCAGGAAAGAGCCUGUGAAGGUCGGCAGCUUCCCCGUGGGUCUUGAGUGGAGAGGGAUUAGCAUUAGAUCAGGUGCAUGGGCUGAAAUAUGGGCAAAGCCACCCUAGUUCCUAAACCUACUAGUUCCUGUGUUUGCUUGGAAUUUGAAGAAGAGCCUGGAGAGCCAUUGAUGCCCUGCUUGGUGGAGAUGGCAGGUGAUGGCAUACAACAGGCCCCACACACCCCACGAGCUGCCCUCCAGCCUGAAGGAGGGCAUCUACAGAACAGCCACCUUGGAUUCAUGCCUCAGACCUGGUGUGGAUGAGUCGUCAGACUGUAUGUCCUUGGUCCCUAGAACAUGGUCCCUAGAACACUGCAAACUUAAAUAGGUGGUAUUUUUUUUAAAAGUUCUUAUACUAAUUCACUAAACAUACUGUGAAGGAAGCUUAAUUAGUUCCAAGGACAUGCAGAAGAGGAAGGCAUCUGAAACCCAGGAGGGGUUGUGUAGUUCAGCUCUCCAUUACUGUCACAGAGGACCUGAGGUAGUUACCUUUAGCAGAAAUGAUUUGUUUUGUCCCAUGGUUUUGGAGGCCCCAGUCCAAGAGCAGGUAGACUCUUCACUUUGGGUCUCUGGGGUGUAUGCUGGAUGGCCGCAGAGGGCAGGGUGUGGCAGAGCAACUGCUCACCACAUGACCAGGAAGCAGAGAAUGGACCUAAGGACCUUGCACCUAAAGGUGCCACCUCCGCUCAACUGCCCCACCCUGGGGAUCAAUCUUAUCAUGUGGGCUGUUGGGACAUUCUAAGUCCACACUAUAGCUGGCAUCCCUUGGGAACCCCCAUGGACCCAAGGUCUACGGAAGCAUAGUCUAGGGUGUGACCCAAGGAGUCUUCAAAUCAAGGGGAAGGAAAGGAAGACAUGGGACCCUGCGUGUGUCCUCUCCAACCCCCAGAGGUCGCUGCUCAGCACACAGAAUGUCUGCUUUGCUUCAUCCUCUCUAGACCAGGGUGACAGUGCAGGUGGACACCAUCCAUCACCAAACCAACACCCGGGUCCAAACCAUUCCCACACAACAAGGAGCAGGGCCAGCAGAUCCUCUUUAAGUGUGUUGUGAUGUAUUCAAUGGACAGCAGCAAAGUUGACUCAUAAGUCAAAGACAAAGAGAAUAGAUGGCCUCUUGUCCCAAAUCUGCAAGUCCUGGGCUGAGGCUUAAUCUCCAGCAGAAGGUGAUCUUCAGGAAGUCACCACAGGCCUUGGGGAGAAGCAGGGGACAUGGUUCUGUGAUACUGUGCAUUUCUUAAAGAGCAUUUCUCAGGUGGGAAACACGGGGUUAGUGAGAACGGGUAGGAGUUGCUGUUGCUGGGAUUCUGGGCAUCUGUGACUGGCUGAUGUCCACAGCCACCUGCAGCACUGGAUGUGGCCAAGUGAUCUGAAUGGACGGAAGGUGUCAAGGGUGCUGUAAAGCCUAUGGUGUAUUAAUCACCUUAAAAAAUUAGAAAACCCUGAAUUUGGGAACACAUGGAGCCAUGAGGAUCCUGGGCAUGGGGCUGUGGACUUGAAGGUGUCAGAAUAAGAUCCAGAGCCGGGUCAGGCCCCCCGUGCGGCUGCCCACCAAAUACUGGUCACACCCCCAGUCGCACAACACUUUCCACUGACACAACAGGGUGAAUUGACUCAGUCUCUGUUCCACUAGGAACUGGGGGGGGUGGUGACAAAUGAAGUGAGAGAUAAGGAAGCUACAAAACGAUUGGCAAAUUUUUGAAAAACAAAAAACGUACCUUAAAGUUACGUUAGUGGACCAAAAAAGAAAGAGAAGGAAUUAUUUGUUUUUCAUAAAUUGUUUCAUGGUCAUUUUACUAUAAUUCCAUAUUCUUGGAAUUCUGAUUCAAUAAAUAUCAUUUUAAAAUUCCUAACUUCUUUAUAUGGAAAUGAAUUGAAGUAGAAAUCGUACUCUAAGGUUUCUAGAAACCUCUUUGUACACACCAGCCUGGGAGGGUAAAAUGCCCAUCCCUGGGCCAAGCACUGAGACUCCAAGAGGAACUGGCCGUGCUUCUGUGGUAGCCCACCAACGUGCUGUGGGGGAGGCAGCUAACUGGUGGGGUCAGUUCCCAGGAGAAGAGGCAGGUGGGGACUCCCCUACACAUGACACAUGCCUCCCAACUGUGGUGAGCUGACAGACAAUGCUGGGCUCAGGGCUGUCAGACAGGGGAGCAGCAGACAUCAGGUCAGUGCCCAUGAGAUGGCGGGUGCUCCGUGUGUUUCUCAGUGACGUGAAGAAACAGCACAGUCAGUGUGCUCAGACUCCGGGCCCUUGCCACAGGCCAGGUGCAAGAUGAAGCUUGGCACAUGCCUGCCUGACCCUGGUGGCCUUGCUUAAGAGGAACUUCCCGGCGGCUGAUGAGCGCACAGGUAUGACAUGGACAAACGUGAUGUCGCGCAGUUCACACUCCUGCUGCACCCACAGGAAGCUUGGGCGAGGCUCCCCUGGCUCAGGAAGGCACCAGGCCACCUACCCUUUCUGCCCCUCGGCCCCAGCUCCAUCCAGCCCCAUCCCUUCCCUCACAGGGGCCCCUCGGCUCUCAAAAACAAAAGAGGAAAAUGACUAAGCGAGAGCAGCUGGAAAGGAGGAAGGAGGACCCGGACGUGAAGAAAGGAGAGUGUCUGUGGGUCUGUUUCUCAGGCUCAAAGGCUGGCACACGGCUGGAGGACGGACGCUUCACUUUGGGGAAUUCUAGACAAAGUGAAAACCAAGGUCUUCAAGCAUCUUUCAGUCCCAAGGGAAGGCGCCCAGGCACAGAUACUAAAGGAAGGCAUCAUGUGGAAACCGCACUCGGAUCCUUCAGCUGAGCUUCGCCUUGGGCUGGAGGUGUGGAGACCAGAGAGCGGAACUAACGCUUAGAAUAAAAGCAAGAGUCCUAUGAUUUAUGGAUGAUGAAAUCGGACCCUCAAAUAGAGCUGAUUUUAUGUGGACCCUUCCUGUGGGCACCAAAGGUCUGCCCGAGACGGUUGAGGGGGGUUCUCACUGGGCAAACCCACAGGGAGUAACAGACGUCUUUCAUAGUGACGGGGCAGGGGGACCCUGCCUUCCUCAGCUCUGUGGGGCAUAUUAAUUUAUGUACAGCAGAUGUUGAGUUCCACAUUAACCUGAGCUCCUGAAAGGAGGUCAUUCUCAUGAUUUCUGCGUUUAAGAUGCCAAUCAAACCUAUAAAUGGACAGGCUGAACAUGCAGCUCGACGAGAGGCUGGAAUAGCUGCAUCUGUUACGGACGUUUAUGAAGCCUCCACCUAAGCCCGAGCCCCGCGUUUCCUCUCUGUACUGGAUGCCAUGCAGUCACCUUAAACUCAGUGUUUCCAAAAGCAAGCUCGUGUCUGCACCUGUUCACACACCUGUGCCCCUCAUCCCGUGCACACACUCCUCUCCCAUGGAGGGCAUGGGUGCCAGUCCCAUGACGUUGACCUUCUAGCAUUUCUUGCUUCUUUAAGCUUGCCACUUCCCCUGUGAAAUCCAGGUGCUCAGCAUUUGCUCCCUCUGCAGGGACCCCGCCCUGACCCAACAUUUCCACUGUGCCCAAGACCACCAUCCUCCAUGUCCCUCCACAAGCCACCAGCACCUGUUCUCUUGGAGACAUCCCUGUACCCUGCUCAAGUUCCCAAUGGUGCAGGAUGUGGGCAGCCUCUUGAAGCCUCCCAAGAGUGUCACCUCCUUGUCCCCCAGGGCUUAUCAUUGCCACUAACUCCUGCCUGCAGUUGUCCUGCAUUCAUUAGCCAGAGCCACCACUCCUCUUGGGCCCAGAACUUCACGGGAGCUCCAGCCACGCUGUGUUUCGGUGGCCUGCCACCGAGCAUCAGGCCCUGGGGCUGAUGGCCUACUCCAUUCAGGCUAGGACCUGCCCAGUACCUACAGCAGUGUCCAACUCACAGUGAGUCCCAGGAAAUCAGGCUUUCAAUGAAUAAGCAGAGAAAUGAGGGACAGACAUAGUAAAAUGCUCAGGGGGCUUAGUGCAGUUGAGCGCCACCACACUCCUAACCUGGGGCCAAUACUGUACCUGGUAACACAGAGCACUAACUUUCAAAAUCUUUUCUUAACCUCCUAAACACAAGCCACAUAAAAUCUGGGAUAGAAUUUUUAAAAUGAAAUAUCUUUUGAAAACUACAAAUUUUAUUUGUUUAUUACGUGUGACCGUUACUACAAUUCCAAUCAUUAAAAAUGACUUAGAAAAAAAACCUCUGUUACAUUAAAUUAAAGAAUAGGUUAUAAAAGCAUGUAUGAUGUGAAUACAUUUUUCUUAACAUGAACAUAUAUUAAAUAUAUAUUUGAAUAAACUAUAAGAAUUGAUAGCAAGACAUCUAACAUGAUCAUUAUCCUUGACAUAGGAUUAAGGAAUCCUGUAUUAUCUGCAUUUUGGAAAUCUGCACACUGUGGUCAAUGUGUAUUAAUUCUUAAGGAAAAGAAUAAUGAGAGUUUUGUAGUUUUUUCCCACAAACCAGUGGGAUCUCUUCAAAUGUUCACUAUGAAUAAUCAUUUGUUCCUGGUCCUUCCUCCCCGGGUUUCUGAAUUCUGUAUUCUCUUCAUGGUUCCCACAAAUGAGUUUUAUCAGCUCCCUAAUUAACUUUGCUCCUUGAACCUUCCUGGCUUAUUUGAGUCUGAGCAUGCAAACGCACGCAGCCAAUCCCCGGGGCUCAGAGAGUCCUGGAGGAGCGACAGGGCUGAACACGGCAGGGUCACAGCCCCUCCCUCUGGGGCUGACUCCUCAGGUGCUUCCUGAGCACAAGAAUUCACCUUGGCGUGAAGGAGGCCAGGGGCCAGAGGCGUCCUGGGAGCCUCAGGUUUCCCCACUGAGCAGCUCACUGUUUCACAUAAACUCUCCCCGGAAACAUCUCAGUUUGUCCAAGGUCGUCCCUGAAUACUCAUGACUUCCACUGUAGUGAUAUUUCCACAGCCUUGAAAUUUGGGUAGAUGUGAAGGUCUGGCAAGUGGAAGAAAUAAACUUAAGACAGGCUGUUCAUGAUUUGGAAUCAAUACACAUUAUAAUCCUGUUCCACUACACUUAAAUCAAAUUGUGCUGUCAAUAUUUUAACCUCAGAGACCACUCAAAGAUGGCUCAAAGCUAUUUAUUAAGUGCUGAUCGCCUUCACCAGUUUAAGUCAAAUGUGGAUCACUUGUGGCAUUGCGGAUCCUCUCCGGUUUUUGACAAUUGGAAAGUGGCUGGGACUGUACAGUUUCCUCCGAUAGCAGUCCCUGGAUACUUGCCGCUUGAGAACGUACUGAUUGAAGGGCUUUUGUACAAAACAAUCUUGGAAAUAGCUUUUUGUGGGGGAAAAAUUACUUUAGUGUUAGAGGGAAAGUACUUAAUUUUAAAAUAUACACAUUAGAAGUCAUCACCCAGGGAAAACAACUCAGUCCUGUGCAGAUUCCUAGAACUUUUACCCAAUUUCUCAGAAGUUUAUGAAAUUAUGAAUUUUGAGGGCUAGGGUUGUGGCUCAGUAGUCGAGUGCUUGCCUAGUAAGUGUGAGGCACUGGGUUCAAUCCUCAGCACCACAUAAAAAUAAAUAAAUAAAAUAAAUGUCCAUCAACAACUAAAAAAUUUUUUUAAAAAAUUUUGGAUUUUGACAAAAAAGAUAGCUGCUCCUGAAUUAUUAUAAAUAUAGUCAAAUGAAACAUAAGUAUUUGACCACAUCCAGCAACACUGCUGCCAGAUCAUUUGAAGAGAUUUCUUGUUCCACUGGUUCUAUUGAACUGGAUUAAUGAGGAACCCAGGGGACACCAGGAAGCACCCCAAAAUAUCCUUCCUUUUGACUAGUUUUUCUUUCUCUCUGUGCUUGUCCUGGCCACACCCACCCCCCAGCUGCAAGGCGCCAAGUGGGAGUCUGACUUAAUGGGCAUUUCAUCACCUGCAUCUUGCACCGUGAAAGGCAUAGAACAGGAGCUCAGUAAAUGGCUGACUAAAGAACGGGGAUCCCUGGAGAUUACCUUUGAAAGGAAUCGAUGUCUCGCUCACCCCCAGGGUAACUGGUGGGCAUGGGCGCCUUCAGAAUACCUGCUCCUGCUCUCUGCCACAUGAGUGGUACUUCCUUACUACAAUGACAAGGGGACCGCUACGCUUCCAUCCUUCCCUCUCCCCUCUCUGUGUUCAAACAGAGGCAGAAAGAUGCCCAGAACAAACACUUCUUCAUCACAGAAACUGAAAACAAAACAAAACAAAAACAAAAAAAAUCAUCAGAACUGGGGACAAUGACAGGCUUAGUCAUUUGCUUUGUUCUCAGGAAAAUACAGCACCCGGUCUCCUAUCUGCUAAGUGCUGUGCCUUGCAUGGUGCCAUUGCUGUAGCUCAGUGGGGACGCCACCCAGCUGAGAAGCACUCAAUGGAACAAGGAGUGAGCGGACACCAUGCAGCUGAAGACUGUCACUCAGGGCACUCACGACAGGUCCCCUCCCCCACUCUCUUCCUGGGAAAUGCAGCUGGCUGGUUGACAGAGGACCAGGCUGGCUGGGCAGCUAGAGAGUGGUGCCACCUGCCCCUCAGUUCCCAGCUGACAGGAAGGGCCCAGAGUAGCCACAGCUGUGGACCAUGAGCUUCAGAUUCUGUCUGCAGACCUGCCCUGGUUCUAGUGCAGGCCACCAGGGCUCAAAGCCCACUGACCUGCAAGAGUCCCCGGGUUCUCCAUCCUGCACACACACUUCUAGUCAACCUGACUUGCCUUCUCUUUUCCCCCUUCAGAGCAAAAACUCAAAAUCAUCAUCUUGACAACAGAGAAAAAGGAUGAAGCCACCUCAGUGAAGAAGAAUUUGAUAUUUUAAUUACUGAUGAUUAUGAAACCACAGAGCCUAGAAGACGGCAUUGUUGAAAUGGAGGAGAAGUUCAAGUUAUGCUAAUGUGUUCAACUUGUCCAUGGUUUUUUUGAUAGAAUUUGAAGACUCCUAGUUACUGAAGGGACUCAGUGGCUGGAUUUCUCUUUACCUUGUAAUUAAAAACGGCUCCAUUCUAAUUCUGGAGGACAGGAAUGGAAUCCUGGGAACAAUAACCUGAAAGGAAGCUGACCUCAGGAAGGUCCACGGGGAGGCCGACAGGUCUGAGGACAGGGUUUCCGAGUGGGGCACAAC
rnacentral:lncRNA from 1 species